rnacentral:rRNA from 1 species
CCUACGGGAGGCAGCAGUGGGGAAUAUUUGUCAAUGGGCGCGAGCCUGAACCAGCCAAGUAGCGUGAAGGAUGACUGCCCUACGGGUUGUAAACUUCUUUUAUAAAGGAAUAAAGUGAGGCACGUGUGCCUUUUUGUAUGUACUUUAUGAAUACGGAUCGGCUAACUCCGUGCCAGCAGCCGCGGUAAUACGGAGGAUCCGAGCGUUGUCCGGAUUGAUUGGGUUUAAAGGGAGCGUAGAUGGGUGGUUAAGUCAGUUGUGAAAGUUUGGGGCUCAACCGUAAAAUUGCAAUUGAUACUGGCAGCCUUGAGUACAGGUGAGGUAGGCGGAAUUCGUGGUGUAGCGGUGAAAUGCUUAGAUAUCACGAAGAACACCGAUGGCGAAGGCAGCUUACUAAACUGCCACUGACGUUGAGGCACGAAAGUGUGGGUAGCAAACAGGAUUAGAUACCCGGGUAGUC